rnacentral:rRNA from 1 species
GAUGAACGCUAGCGACAGGCUUAACACAUGCAAGUCGAGGGGCAGCACAGGUAGCAAUACCGGGUGGCGACCGGCGCACGGGUGAGUAACGCGUAUGCAACUUACCUAUCAGAGGGGGAUAACCCGGCGAAAGUCGGACUAAUACCGCAUGAAGCAGGGGCCCCGCAUGGGGAUAUUUGCUAAAGAUUCAUCGCUGAUAGAUAGGCAUGCGUUCCAUUAGGCAGUUGGCGGGGUAACGGCCCACCAAACCGACGAUGGAUAGGGGUUCUGAGAGGAAGGUCCCCCACAUUGGUACUGAGACACGGACCAAACUCCUACGGGAGGCAGCAGUGAGGAAUAUUGGUCAAUGGCCGAGAGGCUGAACCAGCCAAGUCGCGUGAGGGAUGAAGGUUCUAUGGAUCGUAAACCUCUUUUAUAAGGGAAUAAAGUGCGGGACGUGUCCCGUUUUGUAUGUACCUUAUGAAUAAGGAUCGGCUAACUCCGUGCCAGCAGCCGCGGUAAUACGGAGGAUCCGAGCGUUAUCCGGAUUUAUUGGGUUUAAAGGGUGCGUAGGCGGCCUUUUAAGUCAGCGGUGAAAGUCUGUGGCUCAACCAUAGAAUUGCCGUUGAAACUGGGGGGCUUGAGUAUGUUUGAGGCAGGCGGAAUGCGUGGUGUAGCGGUGAAAUGCAUAGAUAUCACGCAGAACCCCGAUUGCGAAGGCAGCCUGCCAAGCCAUGACUGACGCUGAUGCACGAAAGCGUGGGGAUCAAACAGGAUUAGAUACCCUGGUAGUCCACGCAGUAAACGAUGAUCACUAGCUGUUUGCGAUACACUGUAAGCGGCACAGCGAAAGCGUUAAGUGAUCCACCUGGGGAGUACGCCGGCAACGGUGGAACUCAAAGGAAUUGACGGGGGCCCGCACAAGCGGAGGAACAUGUGGUUUAAUUCGAUGAUACGCGAGGAACCUUACCCGGGUUUGAACGCAUUCGGACCGAGGUGGAAACACCUUUUCUAGCAAUAGCCGUUUGCGAGGUGCUGCAUGGUUGUCGUCAGCUCGUGCCGUGAGGUGUCGGCUUAAGUGCCAUAACGAGCGCAACCCUUGCCACUAGUUACUAACAGGUAAAGCUGAGGACUCUGGUGGGACUGCCAGCGUAAGCUGCGAGGAAGGCGGGGAUGACGUCAAAUCAGCACGGCCCUUACAUCCGGGGCGACACACGUGUUACAAUGGCGUGGACAAAGGGAGGCCACCUGGUGACAGGGAGCGAAUCCCCAAACCACGUCUCAGUUCGGAUCGGAGUCUGCAACCCGACUCCGUGAAGCUGGAUUCGCUAGUAAUCGCGCAUCAGCCAUGGCGCGGUGAAUACGUUCCCGGGCCU